UACGUAGGUGGCGAGCGUUGUCCGGAUUUAUUGGGCGUAAAGCGCGCGCAGGCGGUCGCGUAAGUCUGCUGUGAAAUCUCCCUGGCUCAACCGGGAGGGGGCGGCGGAGACUGCGGGACUGGAGGGACCUAGAGGCCGGUGGAAUUCCCGGUGUAGCGGUGAAAUGCGUAGAUAUCGGAAGGAACACCUGUGGCGAAAGCGGCUCACUGGACCAUUACUGACGCUGAGGCACGAAAGCUAGGGGAGCAAACAGG
rnacentral:rRNA from 1 species